rnacentral:rRNA from 1 species
ACUCCUACGGGAGGCAGCAGUGGGGAAUCUUGGACAAUGGGGGCAACCCUGAUCCAGCCAUGCCGCGUGAGUGAUGAAGGCCUUAGGGUCGUAAAGCUCUUUCGCCUGUGAUGAUAAUGACAGUAGCAGGUAAAGAAACCCCGGCUAACUCCGUGCCAGCAGCCGCGGGUAAUACGGAGGGGUUAGCGUUGUUCGGAAUUACUGGGCGUAAAGCGCGCGUAGGCGGAUUAGUCAGUUAGAGGUGAAAUCCCAGGGCUCAACCCUGGAACUGCCUUUAAUACUGCUAGUCUUGAGUUCGAGAGAGGUGAGUGGAAUUCCGAGUGUAGAGGUGAAAUUCGUAGAUAUUCGGAGGAACACCAGUGGCGAAGGCGGCUCACUGGCUCGAUACUGACGCUGAGGUGCGAAAGUGUGGGGAGCAAACAGGAUUAGAUACCCUGGUAGCGACUGA